GACAGAGGGUGCAAACGUUGUUCGGAAUUACUGGGCGUAAAGCGCGUGUAGGCUGCCUCGCAAGUCGGGUGUGAAAGCCCUGGGCUCAACCUAGGAAGUGCACUCGAAACUGCGGGGCUGGAGUCCUGGAGAGGAAGGCGGAAUUCUCGGUGUAGAGGUGAAAUUCGUAGAUAUCGAGAGGAACACCGGUGGCGAAGGCGGCCUUCUGGACAGUGACUGACGCUGAGACGCGAAAGCGUGGGGAGCAAACAGG
rnacentral:rRNA from 1 species